rnacentral:rRNA from 1 species
UACGUAGGGUGCAAGCGUUGUCCGGAAUUAUUGGGCGUAAAGAGCUCGUAGGCGGUUUGUCGCGUCGGCUGUGAAAACCUGGGGCUCAACCCCGGGCCUGCAGCCGAUACGGGCAAACUAGAAUUCGGUAGGGGAGACUGGAAUUCCUGGUGUAGCGGUGAAAUGCGCAGAUAUCAGGAGGAACACCGGUGGCGAGGGCGGGUCUCUGGGCCGAUAUUGACGCUGAGGAGCGAAAGCGUGGGGAGCAAACAGG